CAGCCAGCAGUUCUCCCAACACCAGUGUGGCAGGAUUUCUUUCCUUUCAGGUUAUUCCAGUUGAUGUCAGUAUCUGUUUUCUUGACAACAGCUACAGCAAAGUAGCUUUCAGGAACUGGAAAUGGAGAAAGAAAGCGAAGAGACAUGAAGAGCUAGAAAGGCAAUGCCUAUUUCAGAAGAUACUUUUGGCAAAUAACUUCAGCAGAAAACCAUGAACUGCAAGACACUGAACACAAUUGUGCAGCUCAGGUGAUCCUCCUCAGAGACUCCCUCCUGGACCUUCUUUACAGAAGCAAGCCCACCAACAUCUGGAAACUGAGCGUCUUCUAGACAUAACAUCAAUAACCUUCUAAGCUAGUUGAUGAAAGCAUGAGACAAGGCCUUCUCACACCCAGAAUGUAAAAAUACCUCACCUGGGCAUUUUCCAGGCUAGCUGCUAGAACAGCAGCAAAAUGCCUCUGUUUGGGCAAGUUGCAUUUGGAACAUAAACAGCAGGGGGAGCAGUCUUGCAGCAACUAACAACCCGAAAAAACAGCAGCUUUUCCACACUGGAUGUACGACAUCCUUGUGAUUUUAUUCUCAACGAGGCACUGGAAAUGUGAACGGUCCCCUGCUGUCCAAGUAGGGACUGCAGUGUCACGAUGCAGGAAGUGUAGAAGCACACUUCCGAGAUACGUCCUGACCCCGUUGUAGGGUCUAGUCUGGAAAGCGCCCUGGGAGAAGCAUCUGGCCUCUUCAGCUACUGUCUAGAUCCUCUGAUUCCUGAUCAUCUACUCAACUUGACCCUUGGCAUGAUGUUCCUGGCUCUCCCAGACCUGGCUUUGGGCUUGUGUCCCCUAGUGACUGCUACCUAGAGCUCAGUUACCUAACACGUUAUAAACCAUUAAAUGCUUCUGCAG